rnacentral:rRNA from 1 species
UCCUACGGGAGGCAGCAGCCGCGGUAAUACGUAGGUGGCAAGCGUUGUCCGGAAUUACUGGGUGUAAAGGGAGCGCAGGCGGGAAGCCAAGUCAGCUGUGAAAACUACGGGCUUAACUUGUAGACUGCAGUUGAAACUGGUUUUCUUGAGUGAAGUAGAGGUUGGCGGAAUUCCGAGUGUAGCGGUGAAAUGCGUAGAUAUUCGGAGGAACACCGGUGGCGAAGGCGGCCAACUGGGCUUUAACUGACGCUGAGGCUCGAAAGUGUGGGGAGCAAACAGGAUUAGAUACCCCGGUAGUCCGUAGA